rnacentral:lncRNA from 1 species
GGCUGGCUGGGCUACGCGCCCGCGGCGGGGAAAUUGGCAAAGGUGUAGAGCCAAGACUGAGGGCUGGCGCUUCGGGGGAGCCUGCGGCUGGACCCCGACGCAUCGAAAGGGUAGUGGUGACCCCGGAGGGGCCCUGUGGGCCUGGGGCCGCCUGGAACCACCUUGAGUCGGCGCGCUGUGGAGCAGGAAGCCCGAGCGCCCUGCGGACCGAGACUGGAUCUACACCGUCCACCCCUGGCGCCCGCAGGAGGUGCGGAACUUGGCGUUCCUAAAGCGGGUCAGCAGGAGGAAACUGAGGCCCAAAGAUGAUGAAGCCCGGGCUGGGUCACGGAGCCACCGGUGGACAUCCGGGACGAGAACUGCGAGCUCUGGGUUUUCUGAAAAGGUUCUGACUAAGGAAUGAAGAAGAUUAUGGAAUGGCUUGGAAGAUUGAGAAGGGAAGAAUGAGAAGAUUGAGGUGGCACCAUGGAAGCCAGGCUGGUCCCUUUGUGGAUGAGGAAAAUUCCACAGUGUGUACGUCUGGGGAUUUUUCCAUGUUGAUGGAAGAAAGUGUUCAGAGUACCAAGUGAAUCCCAUUGAAGUUACAUGGUGGAAAUGAGGAGAGGCUAAAUAUAGCCACGUGAUAACUAUCAGCAAAAACAACUUCAAGCUUAAAGUCAACAGUGAGUAUGUAGCAUCAGCUUGAAGACUUGUGUGAACAUGUACAAAUAUUUUCUAAGAAUAUUUUUCAGAAAAGUAUAUUUAUAGAUACAAUAUCUAAUUGCAUUGUGAAUGAUAAACAACAAGGUUGGCAAACUAUAUUUCAGGACUGUUUUAUAUAUUUAUUUGCUGCCAUUAUUAGCUUUUUCUUUGUGACUGCGAAUUAUAUCUGCUUAUUAAUAUUGGUGGAAAGAGGGAAUUGCUGUACUUUAGUGCUGGGAAAGGAUUUUUUUGGUUGACAGUGAAGGUUGCAGAAAGUCUUGUUUAAGAGUUUAUUUUGGUAUUUGUCUCAUCUUAAAAGGCUGUGACUGGGACUUCAUAUCUAAUAAGCAUGCAUGUUACAUUUUUAUGUUUGUUGAGUGCCUUAUAGUCUUCCAUUAGUCUACACAAUACCCCUUGAGGGUGGGUCAGUAUUACUGCCUACAGUUUACAGUUGAGAAAAUUUGUGACACUCAGGGAUUAUGUGAUUUGUACAAGGUCACCCAGCAUGCUAGCCUAGCUAGUAAAAGAUAACAUCAAAGCUCUUUCCAAAUAAAAAGUGCCUUAUGAAUGUUAGGUAGUAUUAAUGGGCAUGAUCCCAGGAUGAGUAAAAUACAUUCCAGGAGUAAAGUGCUAUAUAUGCUCUAUGAAAUUAAUUCUUUUUAACCACAGAGCAACUUUCAGAACAGGAA